rnacentral:snoRNA from 1 species
CCUGCCCCUAGAUGUACUGCAGGUGUGACUGCUGUGUCCGAGAGGAAAGGGGCUGUCUACACUCAGUGUUCUAACCUGUGAACAUCUGGAUGACUAGUAGCCUAACGCU